GUGAAUCAUCAAAUCUUUGAACGCAAAUUGCACUCUCCGGUUUUCCAGGAGAGUAUGCCUGUUUGAAGGUCAGCCUAAAAAAAAUCGACAUUGUUGCUGAUUUAUGGUGACUUUCGUCUGUGCUGGGUUAUCUUAACUCUAGUUUUAAGCAACUUAAAAAUUUUUUUUACGAUUCUAAGACUGUUUCUAAGAUUUUUCUUAUACGUUUACUGUAUCGAUUGUCUUAUUAAACGUGCCGGUCAUAUCGGUUCGUGUCCAUAUUUUUUACGUUUACUGACCUCAGACAGGUAAUAGUACCCG
rnacentral:misc_RNA from 1 species